rnacentral:tmRNA from 1 species
GGUGUCUUCAGUCGCGCUCACUCCCGACAAUUAAAAUGAAGAUAAGCAUGUAGAAAGCAGAUUGCUUCCUCGUUUGGACGAGGGUUCGACUCCCUCCAGCUCCACAG